rnacentral:rRNA from 1 species
UACGGAGGGGACUAGCGUUGUUCGGAAUUACUGGGCGUAAAGCGCACGUAGGCGGAUUUGUAAGUCAGGGGUGAAAUCCCGGGGCUCAACCUCGGAACUGCCUUUGAUACUGCAAAUCUCGAGUCCGGAAGAGGUGAGUGGAAUUCCUAGUGUAGAGGUGAAAUUCGUAGAUAUUCGGAAGAAACACCAGUGGCGAAGGCGACUCACUGGCCCGUUACUGACGCUGAGGCGCGAAAGCGUGGGGAGCA